rnacentral:tRNA from 1 species
GGAGAGAUGGCUGAGUGGUUGAAAGCGGCACCCUGCUAAGGUGUUAUACCCCCUCCGGGGUAUCGAGGGUUCGAAUCCCUCUCUCUCCG